rnacentral:rRNA from 1 species
CGGCGGACGGGUGAGUAACACGUGGAUAACCUACCUAUAAGACUGGGAUAACUUCGGGAAACCGGAGCUAAUACCGGAUAAUAUAUUGAACCGCAUGGUUCAAUGGUGAAAGACGGUUUUGCUGUCACUUAUAGAUGGAUCCGCGCCGCAUUAGCUAGUUGGUAAGGUAACGGCUUACCAAGGCAACGAUGCGUAGCCGACCUGAGAGGGUGAUAGGCCACACUGGAACUGAGACACGGUCCAGACUCCUACGGGAGGCAGCAGUC